rnacentral:rRNA from 1 species
UACGUAGGGUGCAAGCGUUGUCCGGAAUUAUUGGGCGUAAAGAGCUCGUAGGCGGUUUGUCGCGUCUGCUGUGAAAACUCGGGGCUUAACCCCGGGCCUGCAGUGGGUACGGGCAGACUAGAGUGCGGUAGGGGAGACUGGAAUUCCAGGUGUAGCGGUGAAAUGCGUAGAUAUCUGGAGGAACACCGGUGGCGAAGGCGGCAUCCUGGACCGACACUGACGCUGAGGCGCGAAAGCUAGGGUAGCAAACGGG